UGGAAAGGCCUGGAAGGGUUGAGCCUG
rnacentral:piRNA from 1 species